CUUUUCCCGGAUGUGUACAUUAGAGAGCUUUUCAAGGUUUCCAGCAAAAAUAAAUAGAUAAGCGACAGCAGGAUCGAAAUAUUGCCGAUAUAAGGGUGGGAGUGUAUGUAUAUAUAUAUAUAUAUAUAUAUAUAUAUAUAUAUAUAUAUAUAUAAGUCGCUAUCUAGAAAUAUCUAAAGAUAGGACAACAAUCCAACAUAAAGUAGUUGUCUGUUGACGACAGCUGAUUCUACAACGUGAAAUAAUAUCAAUAACGUCAAAUCGCGAUUAAAAUAUUCUGCGACAAAUAUUCCCUAAUAUUUCCACAUUUCUUCACAAGAACUAUAACAUUUCUCAUAUACAUACAUAUAUAUAUAUAUAUAUAUAUAUAUAUAUAUAUAUAUAUAUAAUAUAUAUGUAUGUAUAUAUAUAUAUGUGUGUGUUGUGUGUGUAUAUAUAUGUGUGUGUAUAUGUAUAUAUAUAGGAAUAUAUUUGGGGGAGUGUUCUAGAAGUGAAUUUUAAAUAAUUUCCAGUUUGUAAAAAUUAAGUAGAAUAAAUUAGAAUCUAGUGUUGUAUUUGUCGUCGAUAAAACAUUGUGAGACAAAUAACCAUUACAGUUGGUCUAUCAUUGUCUGCGGAACUACACUAGAGUCACUUCUGUGAUAGUGAUGGUGGUGGUGGGCGGAAUCAGAUAGUACGGGUGGUUGUACUGGUAAUACAGAUGGUCGUUAUUGUGGUGCUGGUGAUGAUAGCGGUGGUAGUGAUGGUGAGUUAGCUUCCUAAAUCUCUCUACAGGUCGUUGACGUACUUUUCUAACUGUUGCUACUCUUACUGCAGCUACUUUCACGUUACAACAACUGUUGGUAUCGGUGCUAAUGAUGAUGAUAGUUUUGUUGUUUUGCCUAAGGUCAGCUCGGAUCAAGAAGACCGAUAAUCAAAGCUACUCCAGAUGCGACCAAUUUGUUUGAACACAGUGUAUGACAGAAUGAUUAAACUAUCUAAUGUGUCCUUCCUUAUUUAAAAAGUAAGGAAGACAAGUAGGGAAAUUUUGGCUGCUAUUUUUACCAGAUCAAAUAACCAUGUUUGGCCUUUGCAGUGAUGGUGAUGAUGAUGGUUGCAGGUUCCAGUCAUCUGUGUGUGGUGUGAUCACCUGAUCUGACACCGGUAGGCGGAGCUUAAAGGAGGAGUUGUGGAACGCUGGUCGUUCG
rnacentral:lncRNA from 1 species